UGGUGAAGAAGGAUAGAGGCAGUAACUGGUCUUUAUUUGACGGUAAUCAACCAGAAAGUCACGGCUAACUACGUGCCAGCAGCCGCGGUAAUACGUAGGUGGCAAGCGUUGUCCGGAUUUAUUGGGCGUAAAGCGAGCGCAGGCGGAAUGAUAAGUCUGAUGUGAAAGCCCACGGCUCAACCGUGGAACUGCAUCGGAAACUGUCAUUCUUGAGUGCAGAAGAGGAGAGUGGAAUUCCAUGUGUAGCGGUGGAAUGCGUAGAUAUAUGGAAGAACACCAGUGGCGAAGGCGGCUCUCUGGUCUGCAACUGACGCUGAGGCUCGAAAGCAUGGGUAGCGAACAGGAUUAGAUACCCUGGUAGUCCAUGCCGUAAACGAUGAGCGCUAGGUGUUGGGGACUUUCCGGUCCUCAGUGCCGCAGCAAACGCAUUAAGCGCUCCGCCUGGGGAGUACGACCGCAAGGUUGAAACUCAAAGGAAUUGACGGGGGCCCGCACAAGCGGUGGAGCAUGUGGUUUAAUUCGAAGCAACGCGAAGAACCUUACCAGGUCUUGACAUCCUGUGCUACACCUAGAGAUAGGUGGUUCCCUUCGGGGACGCAGAGACAGGUGGUGCAUGGCUGUCGUCAGCUCGUGUCGUGAGAUGUUGGGUUAAGUCCCGCAACGAGCGCAACCCUUGUCUUUAGUUGCCAUCAUUAAGUUGGGCACUCUAAAGAGACUGCCGGUGACAAACCGGAGGAAGGUGGGGAUGACGUCAAGUCAUCAUGCCCCUUAUGACCUGGGCUACACACGUGCUACAAUGGGCAGUACAACGAGAAGCGAACCCGCGAGGGUAAGCGGAUCUCUUAAAGCUGUUCUCAGUUCGGACUGCAGGCUGCAACUCGCCUGCACGAAGCUGGAAUCGCUAGUAAUCGCGGAUCAGCACGCCGCGGUGAAUACGUUCCCGGGCCUUGUACACACCGCCCGUCACACCAUGGAAGUCUGCAAUGCCCAAAGUCGGUGGGAUAAC
rnacentral:rRNA from 1 species